UCCCUAGCGGUCCAGUGGUUAGGACUCCGCCCUUUCAAUGCUGGGGGUGCAGGUUCGAUCCUUGGUUAGGGAA
rnacentral:tRNA from 1 species